GCAGCACAGCACCUCGGCAGGAAGUCUGGAGGACAGGCAGUGGAUUUACCCCGACAGGAGCUAAAACACAGAGCCUGUGUCAAGACCUUCCCACUACCAC